UACGAAGGGGGCUAGCGUUGCUCGGAAUUACUGGGCGUAAAGGGCGCGUAGGCGGACAACUUAGUCAGAGGUGAAAGCCCAGGGCUCAACCUGGGAAUGGCCGUUGAAACUGGCGAACUGGAGUGUGGCAGAGGGGGGUGGAAUUCCGCGUGUAGCAGUGAAAUGCGUAGAGAUGCGGAGGAACACCGAUGGCGAAGGCAGCCCCCUGGGCUGACACUGACGCUCAGGCACGAAAGCGUGGGGAGCAAACAGG
rnacentral:rRNA from 1 species